UACGAAGGGGGCUAGCGUUGCUCGGAAUUACUGGGCGUAAAGCGCACGUAGGCGGUCUUUUAAGUCGGGGGUGAAAUCCUGGAGCUCAACUCCAGAACUGCCUUCGAUACUGGAAGACUUGAGUCCGGGAGAGGUGAGUGGAACUGCGAGUGUAGAGGUGAAAUUCGUAGAUAUUCGCAAGAACACCAGUGGCGAAGGCGGCUCACUGGCCCGGUACUGACGCUGAGGUGCGAAAGCGCGGGGAGCAAACAGG
rnacentral:rRNA from 1 species